CCUACGGGUGGCAGCAGUGGGGAAUAUUGGACAAUGGGCGAAAGCCUGAUCCAGCCAUGCCGCGUAUGUGAAGAAGGCCUUCGGGUUGUAAAGCACUUUCAGUGGGGAAGAAAGCCUUGGGGCUAAUACCCUCGAGGAAGGACAUCACCCACAGAAGAAGCACCGGCUAACUCCGUGCCAGCAGCCGCGGUAAUACGGAGGGUGCGAGCGUUAAUCGGAAUUACUGGGCGUAAAGCGCGCGUAGGCGGUCUGAUAAGCCGGUUGUGAAAGCCCCGGGCUCAACCUGGGAACGGCAUCCGGAACUGUCAGGCUAGAGUGCAGGAGAGGAAGGUAGAAUUCCCGGUGUAGCGGUGAAAUGCGUAGAGAUCGGGAGGAAUACCAGUGGCGAAGGCGGCCUUCUGGACUGACACUGACGCUGAGGUGCGAAAGCGUGGGUAGCAAACAGGAUUAGAUACCCCUGUAGUC
rnacentral:rRNA from 1 species